rnacentral:pre_miRNA from 1 species
GGGGGAGCGCCGGAUCCUGGGCUGUGUCCCCCGGCGCCCUGUGCUCCCAGGCCUGAACUGUUGGAAUCGCGCUCCUGGGCGCGCAGCCCCCU